UACGUAGGGGGCAAGCGUUGUCCGGAUUUAUUGGGCGUAAAGAGCGUGUAGGCGGUUUGGUAGGUCCGCUGUGAAAACUCGAGGCUCAACCUCGAGACGCCGGUGGAAACCAUCAGACUAGAGUCCGGAAGAGGAGAGUGGAAUUCCUGGUGUAGCGGUGAAAUGCGCAGAUAUCAGGAAGAACACCCGUGGCUAAGGCGGCUCUCUAGUACGGUACUGACGCUGAGACGCGAAAGCAUGGGGAGCGAACAGG
rnacentral:rRNA from 1 species